GGCUCAGUGGUCUAGUAGUAUGAUUCCUGCUUCGGGUAUUGAACCCCAGAUUUACUUGGAGUCUAAAGGUGCAGGAGGCCCCGGGUUCAAUUCCCGGCUGAGCCC